UGGGGAAUAUUGCACAAUGGGCGCAAGCCUGAUGCAGCCAUGCCGCGUGUGUGAAGAAGGCCUUCGGGUUGUAAAGCACUUUCAGCGAGGAGGAAGGUGGUGAGCUUAAUACGCUCAUCAAUUGACGUUACUCGCAGAAGAAGCACCGGCUAACUCCGUGCCAGCAGCCGCGGUAAUACGGAGGGUGCAAGCGUUAAUCGGAAUUACUGGGCGUAAAGCGCACGCAGGCGGUUUGUUAAGUCAGAUGUGAAAUCCCCGGGCUCAACCUGGGAACUGCAUUUGAAACUGGCAAGCUAGAGUCUCGUAGAGGGGGGUAGAAUUCCAGGUGUAGCGGUGAAAUGCGUAGAGAUCUGGAGGAAUACCGGUGGCGAAGGCGGCCCCCUGGACGAAGACUGACGCUCAGGUGCGAAAGCGUGGGGAGCAAAACAGGAUUAGAUACCCUGGUGGUCCACGCUGUAAAACGAUGUCGAUUUUGGAGGUUGUGCCCUUGAGGCGUGGCUUCCGGAGCUAACGCGUUAAAUCGACCGCCUGGGGAGUACGGCCGCAAGGUU
rnacentral:rRNA from 1 species